rnacentral:rRNA from 1 species
CGGGGAGCACCACAACAGGUGGAGCCUGCGGUUUAAUCGGACUCAACGCCGGGAAACUCACCAGAUAAGACAGCUGAAUGAUAGUCGGGCUGAAGACUCUACUUGACUAGCUGAGAGGAGGUGCAUGGCCGUCGUCAGUUCGUACUGUGAAGCAUCCUGUUAAGUCAGGCAACGAGCGAGACCCACGCCAACAGUUGCCAGCUCGUCCUCCGGGAUGGUGGGGACACUGUUGGGACCGCCUCUGCUAAAGAGGAGGAAGGAAUGGGCAACGGUAGGUCAGCAUGCCCCGAAUUAUCUGGGCUACACGCGGGCUACAAUGGGUGGGACAAUGGGUAUCGACACCGAAAGGUGAAGGCAAUCUCCUAAACCCAUCCGUAGUUCGGAUUGUGGGCUGCAACCCGCCUGCAUGAAGAUGGAGUUGCUAGUAACCGCAGGUCAGCUAUACUGCGGUGAAUACGUUCCCGGGCCUU